rnacentral:misc_RNA from 1 species
AAACCAAGCAAGGCAAGUGGUGCCGUGAGUGUCACAAGACCGUGAAGACCGCAAAUUCGCAGAAAGGAGGCCAUGGUGGAGCCUAGGCGGCGGAGCUGAUGGUGGGUUUGUGCACGCCAUGUCCAGAAAACAGACGCCCCGGGAGCCCGUGCUACUGGACGCAGCCGAGGCUUCCGAGGAUGAAUCCAGUCCGCUGUGUGCUGAAUACUACCGAGUGAGUCCACCAUAGCUCCUAAACCAACCAGUGGCCAUUCCUUUGGUCUUUCUUACGCUCCUAACGUUGCAUACAUAAGGAACCCUCCAAAAGACUUCCGAAUGGGAGCUAUUCUGAGUGCAAUAUUUUGUUUUUUUCCUCUUGGAUUGCUUGCUAUCUAUUAUUCAUUUAAAACGGAGAAGCUUUUCCGGAAUGGGAACCUUUCGGGUUCCAUCACAGCGUCCGAGAGAACCCGACUACUCAUCAACUUGACCCUCUUGAUGGGCUCCCUGCUCUGGUUUGGAGGUGUGAUCGGGGCCGUAUUAUUUGCCAAUAGGCUUCAUUGAUCAAUCACCUUUCCUGAAUCAGUGACUGAUUUCUCAGCAUUAGGUCAAUCUAAUCUCCACGGCAUUCUUGCAAAAUUUAUUGUUGUAAAUGUUGAUCUGAAUAGCAAAAUCUAAAGCCGUGACUUUUAAACAAAGAUCUGUAUUCAUUUUGUUUGGCAGGAAAUCCAGAUCCAUUCUGUUUCUUUAAAAACCUUUAUUGAUAUAUGGUAUAUGUUGGAAAGAAUUACAUAUUUCAAGAAAUUUGAAUCUCAAAACAGCAGUCAUUAGUCAUCAUAAACAUGCAUUUUUGUUACGACCACAUUUUAGGCGACAUAUUAAAGCCCUUAUUCUUUGUAGUUUGUUGCUUAUUGUUUGUUGUAUGCUUCUGUCAUAUAUUAAUAGUGUAUAUGUUUUAUUAAGUUAUUAUUUGAUAUAAACUUUGUAAUAAAAGAUUCAUAAUUUCUGU